ACAAGCGCGGAGCAUGUGGAUUAAUUCGAUGUAACGCGAAGAACCUUACCUGGGCUUUGACAUACACCAGAUCGGCGCAGAGAUGCGUUUUCCCUUGUGGUUGGUGUACAGGUGGUGCAUGGUUGUCGUCAGCUCGUGUCGUGAGAUGUUGGGUUAAGUCCCGCAACGAGCGCAACCCUUGUCUUAUGUUGCCAGCACGUGAUGGUGGGGACUCAUGAGAGACUGCCGGGGUUAACUCGGAGGAAGGUGGGAUGACGUCAAAUCAUCAUGCCCCUUAUGUCCAGGGCUUCACACAUGCUACAAUGGUCGGUACAACGCGUGUGCGACACUGUGAGGUGAAGCUAAUCGCUCUAAAGCCGGUCGUAGUUCGGAUUGGGGUCUGCAACUCGACCCCAUGAAGUCGGAGUCGCUAGUAAUCGCAGAUCAGCAACGCUGCGGUGAAUACGUUCCCGGGCCUU
rnacentral:rRNA from 1 species